CCUACGGGAGGCAGCAGUGAGGAAUAGUGGUCAAUGGACGAGAGUCUGAACCAGCCAAGUAGCGUGAAGGAUGACUGCCCUAUGGGUUGUAAACUUCUUUUAUAUGGGAAUAAAACAGGGUAGGCAUACCCUCUUGUAUGUACCAUAUGAAUAAGGAGCGGCUAACUCCGUGCCAGCAGCCGCGGUAAUACGGAGGAGCCGAGCUUUAUCCGGAUUUAUUGGGUUGAAAGGGAGCGUAGGUGGAUUGUUAAGUCAGUUGUGAAAGUUUGCGGCUCAACCGUAAAAUUGCAGUUGAAACUGGCAGUCUUGCUUACAGUAGAGGUGGGCUGCAUUCGUGGUGUAGCG
rnacentral:rRNA from 1 species